rnacentral:rRNA from 1 species
UACGUAGGGUGCGAGCGUUUGUCCGGAAUUAUUGGGCGUAAAGAGCUCGUAGGUGGUUUGUCGCGUUGUUCGUGAAAACUCACAGCUUAACUGUGGGCGUGCGGGCGAUACGGGCAGACUUGAGUACUGCAGGGGAGACUGGAAUUCCUGGUGUAGCGGUGGAAUGCGCAGAUAUCAGGAGGAACACCGGUGGCGAAGGCGGGUCUCUGGGCAGUAACUGACGCUGAGGCGCGAAAGCGUGGGGGAGCGAACAGG